rnacentral:rRNA from 1 species
AGCCGACCUGAGAGGGUGAUCGGCCACACUGGAACUGAGACACGGUCCAGACUCCUACGGGAGGCAGCAGUAGGGAAUCUUCCGCAAUGGGCGAAAGCCUGACGGAGCAACGCCGCGUGAGUGAUGAAGGGUUUCGGCUCGUAAAACUCUGUUAUUAGGGAAGAACAAAUGUGUAAGUAACUGUGCACGUCUUGACGGUACCUAAUCAGAAAGCCACGGCUAACUACGUGCCAGCAGCCGCGGUAAUACGUAGGUGGCAAGCGUUAUCCGGAAUUAUUGGGCGUAAAGCGCGCGUAGGCGGUUUCUUAAGUCUGAUGUGAAAGCCCACGGCUCAACCGUGGAGGGUCAUUGGAAACUGGGAAACUUGAGUGCAGAAGAGGAAAGUGGAAUUCCAUGUGUAGCGGUGAAAUGCGCAGAGAUAUGGAGGAACACCAGUGGCGAAGGCGACUUUCUGGUCUGUAACUGACGCUGAUGUGCGAAAGCGUGGGGAUCAAACAGGAUUAGAUACCCUGGUAGUCCACGCCGU